rnacentral:rRNA from 1 species
UACAGAGGGUGCAAGCGUUGUUCGGAAUCAUUGGGCGUAAAGCGUGCGUAGGCGGCCGACUAAGUCGAAUGUGAAAGCCCUGGGCUCAACCUAGGAAGUGCAUUCGAUACUAUUCGGCUUGAAUCCUGGAGAGGGUGGUGGAAUUCCCAGUGUAGAGGUGAAAUUCGUAGAUAUUGGGAGGAACACCAGAGGCGAAGGCGACCACCUGGACGGAGAUUGACGCUGAGGCACGAAAGCGUGGGGAGCAAACAGG